CACUGUGCAGUUGACUACAGAGGGGGAGAGAGAGAGGGAGAAGGAGAGAGAGAGAGAGAGAGAGAGAGAGAGAGAGAGAGAGAGAGAGAGCUGCCCGCCGGCCCAUUGAGGAAAGAUGGCUACAGUCACUGCAAACGGAGUGCAGCAAGAGAAUGGAUUCAGCACCACGAACAGCGCCGGCAGGAUGAACGGGCUUACCAUCGGCCAGAACACCAUUCCAAUGAAGGACCACGACGCCAUCAAGCUUUUCAUCGGGCAGAUUCCCAGAAACCUGGAGGAAAAAGACCUGAAACCCCUGUUUGAGGAAUUCGGAAAGAUAUACGAACUCACAGUACUGAAAGACAGGUUUACGGGAAUGCAUAAAGGAUGUGCCUUUCUAACAUACUGUGCCAGAGAGUCAGCACUGAAGGCCCAGAGCGCCCUCCAUGAACAGAAGACUCUGCCAGGGAUGAACCGGCCCAUCCAGGUGAAGCCAGCCGACAGCGAAGGACGAGGAGAAGACAGGAAGCUGUUUGUGGGGAUGCUCGGCAAGCAGCAGAGCGAGGACGAUGUCCGGCGGCUGUUCGAGACCUUCGGCCAGAUCGAGGAGUGCACCGUCCUGCGAGGGCCUGAUGGGGCCAGUAAGGGCUGUGCCUUUGUCAAGUUCUCCAGCCACGCAGAAGCGCAGGCCGCCAUCAACAGCUUGCAUGGUGGACAGACUAUGCCUGGUGCCUCGUCCAGCCUGGUGGUCAAAUUUGCAGACACUGAUAAGGAGAGAACCCUGCGCAGGAUGCACCAGAUGGCGGGGCAGCUCGGCAUCUUCAGUCCCAUGACCAUCCAGUUUGGGGCCUAUGGCGCCUACUCUCAUGCUGUAAGUCUCAGCCCGGCGGGGGAGGAGACGCAGAUGAUGCAACAGCAAGCAGCCCUGAUGGCAGCAACACAAGGGUCCUACCUGAACCCUAUGGCAGCCAUCGCUGCCGCGCAAAUGCAGCAAAUGGCAGCUUUCAAUGUCAACGGCCUGGUGGCUACUCCCAUGACACCGUCCUCAGGCACCAGCACACCCCCGGGCAUCUCUGCCACAGCCGUGCCCAGCAUAGCCACCCCUAUUGGGGUCAACGGAUUCAGUGCCCUUCCGCCUCAAAGCAACGGGCAGCCCACAUCUGAGCCCAUCUACACCAAUGGUAUUCAUCCUUACCCAGCACAGAGUCCAACGGUGACCGACCCUCUCCAACAGGCUUAUGCUGGCGUCCAACACUACGCAGCAGCCUACCCUGCCGCCUAUGCGCCAAUCAGCCAAGCGUUCCCCCAGCAACCAACCAUCAUUCCCCAGCAACAGAGGGAAGGGCCAGAAGGUUGCAACCUGUUUAUUUAUCACCUGCCCCAGGAGUUUGGAGAUGCUGAGCUCAUGCAAAUGUUCCUACCUUUCGGUAACGUCAUCUCCGCCAAAGUCUUUGUGGAUCGAGCAACUAAUCAGAGCAAAUGUUUCGGCUUUGUGAGUUUUGAUAACCCGUCCAGUGCUCAAGCCGCUAUCCAGGCCAUGAACGGCUUUCAGAUAGGCAUGAAGAGGCUGAAGGUGCAGCUAAAGCGGCCAAAGGAUGCCAACCGACCUUACUGACUCGUCUGCUGUCCAUAUCCAGUGUGAGGUGGCCUUUCUCCGCUAUAGCCACACACCCCCCUACACCUGUCAUGGGGCCAAGUUCCCACAGCUGAUGAAGGGCCACAACACCUUAUUUCCACAAGUGCAGUAAAAGUACAAAGACUUCUUGCUCUGCUACAUAUCAUGAAGGAAGGGUGGUCCCUUGAUCCUGCUGGAAAGCCGCAGAAAGAUUGGGUGACUGAGAGGAGGAUCCCAGAGUUGUUGUUUUUUUUUUUUUUUUAUUUAUUUUAUUUUUGUUGUUCUUUCUUCGCAAAUGCCUCUUUUUUCCCUGUUUUGCUUUGGCGUCUGUGGAAGAAGAUUUUUUGCAGAGACCAACUUUUUGCUGCUGUUUUUUAGACAUGAUGGGAAAAAAAACCUUUAUAGACUCAUUAUGCUCAAAGCAUGCAUACUGACACAGGAUAUAGAUAAACACAUAACACAGAAAACAAACCAAACAUACACAUUUAAAGAAGCUACAUUUUAAAAAAUGAAAAAAAAAAAAAACUUACUUUGUACAUGUAUAAAUACGUGCAAAUGCCAACACAAGUACUGAAGCAAACUCAUGCGUGUGCGCGCGCACACACACACGAAUACACACAAACACACACACCAGCCUGCUGCCAUUUUGGUUUUUGUGCCUACACAGGUGUUGUGCUCUGUGACAGGGCAAGCUCUGGAUCGAAGAAGAAAACAAGAAGAAGAGGAGACAAGUGGAGAAUCCAGGAUAAUUUACAUGCAUCAUUCCUUAGGAAAUAGGGACCAAAGGACUAAACGCUUUUUAAAAGAAUAUAAAUAUAUAAAUAUAUAAAUAUAUAUUUAAAAACUCAUACCUUGUAGCUGCAAGUAUUACAAUUUACUCGUAGUCAAAAAAAAAAUCAUUAAAUCAAUAUCCAGUGGCCUACUGUAAGUACGAAUAAAAGAAAAUGGAAAUAAUGUAUAAAAAAGACAUGGAAUCGUAGUAUAGGGGCUGAUCUUUUGCUCUGGAUGCUGAUUUAGCACCAGGUUGUAGAAUAGUAAAGUAGACUAGAUUAAAAAAAAAUGUAGAUUUGCUAACUUUUGCUGUUGUUUAAAAAAAUACUUGAAGUCGUAAUGAAAAGGGGGCAAAGGGGGAAGGGGGAACAUUCAUCUGCCCCUGUACGCAACAAGUCUCUUUCUCUUGGAUGUUAAGGUGUCAGCCACUGGAUAUUUCGCUCAUCAUGAUGUACAAGUCACUGCACUCUCUGACAGCUAUCAACAGACUGUUCUGGACGGGGAAAAAAAAGAAUGACAAGAGAAAAAAAAAAGACUGAACUUAAAGAUGUCUGUGCUGGACAGGGUGCAGAUGUUUAAGGCUUCUCGCUAGCCUUUGUGUUCAAGCGACAAUCCACUGUAAAGACCAAGUAAAAUGGACAUGGGGUGUCUUCUGUUUGUUUGUUUUUUUCUGUUUUUUUCUUGACCUUUUUGUAUUGCAACAUGAAGUCUGAAUUGUGAAGCCACAAAUUGUCAAAAAAAAAGAAAUGGUUGAAAGACAAAUUGAAGAUGACGAAGGGAACAGUAAGUCGGGGAGGAAGAGUAAGGCGACAGCUACUGAAACUGCCAGCAGAAUGAACUCAGUGUUGAAACGAAUUGGCCCUUCUGGUGUUGGAAUUCCUUCAACAAAACUAACCAAGGAUGCAUGUGUCCACUGGAGCCGCUGCAAAACUUCAGACUAAGAAAAAAAAAUCAUCGUGUCUCUAGGCAGAUAAAAAACAAACAUUUUUCUGAAGACAAAUUUAAUUUACUGCAUUGAUGGCAAAGGAGUGCAGGCUUUUAGAGCUCAUUUCACUCUGUCAAAUAUAAUGUAAAUUCCACUGUUAACAUUUUCCCUGACCUGCUUUCUUCAUCUAUAAUACAAAAAGCCUAUGGGGGAAAAAAAGCUACUGCUUAAACAGGUUAUAUCUAAAUUAAUUCCAACAGUCACUCUUAACCAUCAUUCAUCAUUUGCCUGUAGCUUCACUGACACUGAUGUCAAGCAAGGCAGAGUAAAGCACUACAGCACUGUCAUGUCUUGAUUUAGAGUUCUGUAGCCUUUAUUUUGACUGUUAUAGAGCUCUGGAAACAGCCUCGUCUCUAAAACCAGAUCAAUAUGUUUGGAGUGAGUCUAGAGGGAGGAGCAAUGCUGUUUCAGUCACUAUGAGCACUUCCCAAUUUUCUCCGCCGAACACCAGCUCACAUCCGUACACCAGCCUUCUGAGCACAGACAGCUGGCAGUAAGAGGCAGGACUAGGCAAGAAGGAGGGAGAGAGCAGGCAGAAGAGAGGAAGUCAACAACUCAGCAUCACAUCCUUUACACUGAUGCAUCUACGUUGAUGCCCAAUGAUUGAACCGAUAAAAUUAGAAGCUGUAAUCAAGCUCCCGGUGACAAACAUGAUAGAUCUGUGCUAUGUGCUUUCAAAGAUCAGGGUUUAGGGGUUAAUUGAGAUUGCAGUUUAGUACUUUAGGCACCGAUCCAUUCAGUUUAUGUUUACUACUGAGACUCUUCUCUGUGCCGUCACCUCCCUCUUUCUCGCCUAAAGCAAAAAAGCAAACCCGAAGUGUUCCAAUUUACUGAAGGUAAAACUGAUAAAAAAAAAAAAGUGCCAGCAGAUUCAAGAGUUUUUAAUGUACUGCCUUUGUCAUUUAGAUAAGAUGAACGUCUUGAUUUCAUUCCUUGAUAUGAGCAUGCCAUGUACUGCCUAUCUUCCCCCCUGUGCCAAGAUCAGCAAAGCCUUUCCAAAACCACAGCAAAACUGUUCAGCGGCUCUCCCCUCGGAACAGCAUUUUCGAACCUGGCUAAUGUCUGUGCUCACUACCCUUCAAUUAUCUCCUGCACCAUAUUAGACAUGCUAUUUCACCUUUCCCUCUAAUCACACUGUAAUCAUGAGCCUCUAUACAUUAGCAGCAACCAAGUGAAAAAUCACCGGGAUAAUCACUUGGACCAAAUGACGGGAGAGAUGGUCCCCUGCAUGCACAUGGAUGACAGAAGGAAGAUUAGAGAGAAUUAUGUUUGUGCCUACUCCCUGGCAAGGCUGCUGACAGCUGACCUGGCACCAAUAAUACAGUCGAAUUUACCCGAAGAGCCAACGGAGGAUGUGGAAUAAAACCUUCCAUAUCAUAGCAAGUUGUUAAUAUUGCAGAGUCGAUCCACAUUACCAAAAACUAAAGGAAUAGGGUUGACAGCAAAAUGUAUUUCGUUUUUCUCUGUACCACAAAUGUUGGAGCAAUAGUUGCUUAAAAUGGGGUCGAAACCAACAAUUUUGCGGGAAAUGCUCUAUUCUGUUGAAGCAGCUGCUGCGUUAUUGUGUGUCUUUUUUCAGCAGCAAAAUUGUAUCUCAGCAGUCAACCACAGAGGUCACCAUUUUUUUUUACAAAAUAACUUGCUCACACUUCUUUCUCUUGCCUGCAUCCCUGCUGCGACUCCUGCAAAGCACAGCGUUGUUCACCACUAAAGGAAAAAAUAAGUGAAGCACAGUAGUUCUUCAGAUUCAAAAUGAUGCCCAUCAAAUGACAAGUUUUUUGUUUUUUUUAUUGCCUCUGAAUGCAUUUAAAGUAAAACCCAGCUCUCCUUCCUCUGGCCCUGAUUUGACAUAUGGUGGAAAUGCAGGAAGCUUCAUGAAUUAAUUUGUGAAGUGGGUCAAAACAAAGCCAUGUUCUACAAACCGUUUGUGCUCAUUAUUUAUGUGAAGCUGAACUAAUCAAUGAGGAAUCUAAUGUUCCGUGAGCAACGAAAUUUCCUGUGCUUGUCUUGGUCAUGUCUAGAAUACAUUCUGCAACAUGAACCCUGCCUGCCUGCUCAUCUGAUCUUAUCUGUCUUAUACCAGAUGCUGUACUAGUUCCCACUACUGAUGGCAGGUUGAGUCCCCAGUGAGCCAAAACCCAGUCUAGCCUAGUAUCAUGCUGUCUGCUUGGCUAACAGUGCAGUGUUCAUGUAGCAUCUCUGCUAUGCCAGAGCCAAAUUAGGCAAUGUGAAAUCAGCACUUCAACACUUUUAACAAGGGUGCUCCUAUUACUUUUACACCCAGGGGAGAAUGUUGCUGAAAUGACGUGCGUUAAAGGCAGAAAUAGCUGUGAAACAUGUGCUGCAACUACCGAAAUGAGAAAAAGUUUGUUUUUAGAUAUUCUCAUUACACAUUUAUUUAAAGGUUCUCUGCCUGCUUUGCCCUUAGCCUCAGUGUGGUCUGGUUUUUAGUCCAGGCUAUGUUUCACCUCUAAGAGCACCGACAAAUGUCAACCCAGCGGGCACUCACCAAGCUGUUGCCAAACUGUGAUUUGAUAUUUGCCCUCGAAUUUACAUAGUGAAAAUGUAACUUGGCAUUUUUUGCCUAAAGGAAUUAGUAUGAAUCUAAUUAAUUGUGAGAAUAUAAUAUUUACCAUGCUAGUUGAAACAUUAUGAGGACGUGAAAAAUUGCACAGAGCUCAAAAAGCAUACAGCUUCUCUUCUGUGUGGCCAAAUUGCACUGCCUUUAUUUAGCAUAUCACAGUGAGUGGUGAACUUAAGGCAUACUUGAGUAUGCUCCGUUAUUCCUCAUUGAGCAUUUACAACCUUUGCUGCUCAACCACUGAUGCAUGUACUCACUCAGAAAUUGGGAAUAUAUACACACAGUAUACCCAUUUCCUCAGUUACCACUACACCACCGCUCACAACGUCUGUCCUCCAGAGGAGCAUGUAUCCUUAGAUGGUCCCAGCCAAUAGCAGGAGAGAGCAGAGGACUGCUAGAGCAUGAAUCUCCAACCCCCUGGGUGCAUAACACUCACCCUAAAAUAGCAGUGAUUGUCAAGGAAAGGAAGUGAAAUGUAAUUGACUGAAAGUGGAGAGAUAAUUAAAGGAACCUGUUGGACAGGAGGGAAGAAAUUAAUGCCUCUCAUUUAAUAGCUGCUUUGGGAGGGAGCUUUUCCGUCAUCUCACUUUAGCACAGAAAGGGUUUUGCUAUGGAAAUGGGAUUUUGUAUAGAAAAAGGUGGUGGUGGAAAUGGUGGAAAUAGGCACUGGGUGGUGGGGGUGCUGUGUGCUAAACUGAAACUCCACAAAAUCAGUCCCAAUACUCAGGGCAUCAGGCACUAUGAUGUCAUGAUUAGUGGAGAGGUUCAGAGCCUUGCCUUACCCCUGAUCCCGAAGGAGGUCGAGUUGAUAAAUAUGGCAGUAGGAGCAGUACGAUUGCAUCCCAUCGUGGACAGUGCUGAGCCAGCAGAAGGGCUGAUAAACCACAUAAAUCGUGCGUUGGAUUUUUAGCCUCAUCAUCCGAUUCCAAGAGAAACAAAGAAAUGAGAAAAGAUGCCAUUUUCCACCGACAAUGCAUAAUGAACUGCUGGAGGUGUGCAAUUAUGUUUAGCAACACGGCAGAGUAAUGAAGACAAAGACUUUUUUUUAAUUCCUUAAUGUAAAUAGCCUAUAAAAUAUGAAAACGGAGGAAGGUUGUACAGCAACUUGUGUUGAGAAGCCCAACUCUGUGGGACAAUGAUGUCACUAUAAAAUGUAUCCACAGCAGUGCAGGGAUUUAGGAGAGUUUUAGUCCUUUUAAGCCCCUUAGGUUUGGGCUGUGAACAUGCAUCCUACAACCCUAAGCGUCGGACCAAGGCUUAGAGAGUAUUUGACUUAGUGUCAAACCUAAGCCACGGCCACGAAGUGAUCCGUUAAUUAAGAUUCUGUGUACACCGACAUGUCAUGAUUUUUCUGACAGAAGAAAGAUCGCCUAUGCGGUAAUUGGAUUAGUCCAAUUGGGGCUGAUGAACAGAUAUGACAGUGACAGUAGAGUUCAUCCAUCUGCAUGCUUUCCGCCUGACAGUGAGAAAAGAAAAAAAAAAGAAGAAGAAAAAAGAAAGCAUCAGCCACCAUCACAUUUUUUUCAGAUUCUUGGGAAGUGGAAGUUCAGGCUUUACAGCUUUUAAAGAAGCUAGUUUUACAAAAUGAAAUUCCAGGUAACAGUUUGUUCAACAUGUACAUAAAUCAUUUUAGAAUCAAACAUUUAAUGCACACGGUUGAAACUGUAUGUACAUGGUUAGGCUGAGAUUGGAGGAAAGGGACAAACAAGAGAGCAAUUAUUGUAGAUCCCAGCAGAACCCCCUGCGUGCUUGACCCAAUCUGCCACUGCUCUCCUGACCACACAGCUGCAUUACACGUGUACAUAAAUUAUAGCUUAUUUUUCAAUUCUGUUCAACAUUCUUUAUAGGCCGUACAAUAGAUCAUGUUCAAUCGUUUAAAAAAAUAAAAAAUAAAAUAAAAGAAUAGUUAAUAUAUUUCAGUGAAACUAAGAAAAGGAACCUAUGAAAUAAUUUAUCAAAAACAGAAGAUAAAAUGAUUUUAUUUCUUGUACAGUGAAGCACUGAUGUUCAAAAAUGGGAUUUUUAUACUCAUGUUGGUAAAUGGUACUUUAUUUUCUCUCUUUUGUUUUGCUAUUAUCGGCUGAAGCUGGGAUAGACCCAUUGUCAUGAGGUUUAUUCAGAUAUGCUUUGAUCAUUUUUCUUCUUUCCUUCAUUUUUUUUGGUUGCACAAUCCCUGUGUGAAUUCCCUUGUGGAUGGGCAAGUUCAAAGAGAUUUUGCUCACUGAAAGCUCUUAAAUCAAUCCAAGAAUUAACAAACUGCACUGUAAAAGGAUGACUGAUGGUACUGGUCAUGUGGAUUCAGAAAAAAAGAAAGAGUCCAUUGCACAACUGAGUUCAAAUGGAUCCGCAUUGCAUGUUCAAAAAGAAUCUUAUUUGAGGCCUUUUGUUGUUUUGAGAAAAAAAGAGAAAAAAAUCUAACUUUGCCAUCAGAUUGGUUUUGGGACCUAUGCUGUCAUAUCUAAUUGUCUUUAAGCCAUGGUUGGUUUAAUGUAAUGCUCUUCUCUUUAUGUACUUCCUUUUUUGAAAUGUUCAUCAUUGACAUAUCUCUGAGUUUCCAUUUUUCUGUUCCUUUCUAUGGGACCUUUCUUCCACAGUUUGUUAUCUAAUGCGACUCCAGCUACUGAGGUAGUAGAUAGCGAGACAUUUCUUUACUCCAGUCAGGUUGGUUUGUUCAUGUGAGGAGGGAAUUCUGCCUUAAACCCUGCCUGGUCUCUCUGACAGUACUACCUGUGAACAGUGGUCGGACACACUGUAUUCUGGGGAUGCCAAAUGCUCUUUAAAGCAAACACGUUGCCAGAGUCAGUUUUGCCUCAAGCCCAUUCUGACACAAACAAGGAUGUGGUCAUCCACCUCCAUUUCCAUUGGUUACAAGGACCAAAAUGUAAACAAACUCAGCUAACUGAGCAGUUUGCUUCAAUCAAGCAUCCAAUGAGAGCCUUUAAAGUGUUCACAUUUAGUCAUAGAUAAUUUUGAACCAUGCAUCUUUGUAUCAUGAAUCAUUACAUUCCCAGCUUUACUAUCUGAUCUCACUGUCUUCAUUUGUCUUCAUGCAAAAUUAAUUUGUCAUAAUAUAUUUAGGUAUUUAAAUUCAUAAUGUAUGGAAUAAUCAUUUCUUUUAUUAUUUGACUUGAACAAACUGAAUUUUAUUUGAAACAGAGAUGUAAUUUGAAUUAGCGUUGGCUCGGGUCCGUUUCCCUGAUUCGGGAUGAUAUCUCCCAUAGUGCUCCUGAACUCUGUAGUUCUCUAGUUCAUUAUAUUCUGCUUAGACUAAAAUAAAGCACAGUCCUGUAGAAGA